UACGAAGGGGGCUAGCGUUGUUCGGAAUCACUGGGCGUAAAGGGCGCGUAGGCGGCCGAUCAAGUCGGGGGUGAAAGCCUGUGGCUCAACCACAGAAUGGCCUUCGAUACUGGUUGGCUCGAGACCGGAAGAGGUGAGUGGAACUGCGAGUGUAGAGGUGAAAUUCGUAGAUAUUCGCAAGAACACCGGUGGCGAAGGCGGUUCUCUGGGCCGUAACUGACGCUGAGGAGCGAAAGCAUGGGGAGCGAACAGG
rnacentral:rRNA from 1 species